AUUGAUAUGUUACUCAUGGCUGGGUUUCUCUGGCUCAGAGUAGAAGAUCUGAGUGUAUUGUUGGAGUUUUGAACCAGCUGAGGCUUAUUGAAUUCCAUCUUGUGUGGUUGCUGUGGAAUCAAACAAUCAAAUUCUUGGGAUUCAGUUUUAAAGAAGAUGGAAGCAUCAAGAUUGAAGUUAUCCAUGGAAGCAAAGUCAGUGAGGAGGUGUUGCCUAAUAAGCUCUAAAGUUGAAGCUUCGUCAGGAGAAGCCAUGAUAGAAAUUAGUCUCUGUUUCGAAAGACCCUGAAAGGGGUGUUGAGAAAAUCGAAAAUUCAG
rnacentral:misc_RNA from 1 species